CAGGGCUGGAGUCUUAACCGUGCCCCAUGUCCCCAAGCCAGGGACACAGCCUCUGAGUGCCUCAGCCUCCACUCCGCGAACCAUGGACGGUCUCGGAGCCUCAAGGUGGCUGUGCGGAGGCCGAGCGGGUGGAGAACUCAUCGCGGUGCCAGGUGCAGUGAGCUGCUGUGCGCUGAGCCUCAAUGGUCUGGUGAUGCUGUGGUGCUCCAGGACCAGAGUACAGCAGCUGAAGACAUCCUGGGAGGAACAGAAUCUUCAUCUACUCAGUUCCUCAUUGUUCUUGGAUUGGUGCCUGACUUGGAUGUGAAUUGGAUCCAGGGGUGAACUUGCCUGUGAGACAAACUUGGAGUAAGAGAGACAGCACAUGGGUUUCCCAGGACGAUUUUCGACCCGGAUGAGGCACAGUGGUGAGACACCCACAAGCUUCCAGUCACAGCCCCAAACCUGUGGACACCCUGGAUCCAGCAGUGCAGCCCCAAAACGGACACAGUCAUCUCAGGACAGCCGAUUGGCCUGUUGGCUGAUCAGGACUUCUCUCCAGCUACCUCGCAAACCCGAACUCAGAGCAUGACCAGCCAGGCCCCAGCCCACCUCAGCCACUCCACGAAAACUGG
rnacentral:lncRNA from 1 species